CAGUCGCCACGGGAAUACAGAGGGUGCAAGCGUUAAUCGGAAUUACUGGGCGUAAAGCGCUCGUAGGUGGUUUGUUAAGUUGGAUGUGAAAUCCCCGGGCUCAACCUGGGAACUGCAUCCAAAACUGGCAAGCUAGAGUAUGGUAGAGGGUGGUGGAAUUUCCUGUGUAGCGGUGAAAUGCGUAGAUAUAGGAAGGAACACCAGUGGCGAAGGCGACCACCUGGACUGAUACUGACACUGAGGUGCGAAAGCGUGGGGAGCAAACAGGAUUAGAUACCCCGGUAGUCCCUGUCUCUUAUAC
rnacentral:rRNA from 1 species